GGUUAAGCGACUAAGCGUACACGGUGGAUGCCCUGGCAGUCAGAGGCGAUGAAGGACGUGCUAAUCUGCGAAAAGCGUCGGCGAGGUGAUAUGAACCUUUGACCCGGCGAUGUCCGAAUGGGGAAACCCAGUGCAACUCGUUGCACUAUCGUUAACUGAAUACAUAGGUUAACGAGGCGAACCGGGGGAACUGAAACAUCUAAGUACCCCGAGGAAAAGAAAUCAACCGAGAUUCCCCCAGUAGCGGCGAGCGAACGGGGAGCAGCCCAGAACCUGAAUCAGCUUGUGCAUUAAUGGAACGGUCUGGAAAGUCCGGCGAUACAGGGUGAUAGCCCCGUACAUGAAAGUGCACAGGUUGUGAGUUCGAUGAGUAGGGCGGGACACGUGA
rfam:Yokenella regensburgei ATCC 43003 genomic scaffold Scfld27, whole genome shotgun sequence.